rnacentral:rRNA from 1 species
GUGAGGAAUAUUGCGCAAUGGAGGCAACUCUGACGCAGCCAUGCCGCGUGCAGGAAGCAGGCGCUACGCGUAGUAAACUGCUUUUAACCGGGAAGAAACCCCAGGACGUGUCCUGGGUUGACGGUACCGGAGGAAUAAGCACCGGCUAACUUCGGGUCAGCAGCCGCGGUAAUAUGAAGGGUGCAAGCGUUAUCCGGAUUCAUUGGGUUUAAAGGGUGCGUAGGGGGAGCGUUAAGUCAGUGGUGAAAUCCUGCAGCUUAACUGUAGACUUGCCAUUGGUACUGACGCGCUUGAGUGCGCUGGAAGGGGGCGGAAUGUGGCCUGUAGUGGUGAAAUGCUUAGCUAUGGCACAGAACACCAAUUGCGAAGGGAGCUCACUAAGGCGAUACGGACGCUGAGGCACGAAAGCGUGGGGAUCGAACAGGAUUAGAAACCCUAGUAGUCC